CAAGGCCUUGCUAUUCACACACACACACACACACACACACAUGCACACACUUGCUCUCGAGCACAGUCUUCAUGCUCUCAUGCCUGAGUUCUAUUCUCCUGUCACUUACCAUAGAAAGGGCAUCAUGAGUGUUAUGAUCCAUUCCUCAAGACACCUGUCUGGGAUGUGUCCUCUUUUCUUCCUGCUUAAAAGGAAUAGUGCAGAUGACAACUACAAAAAUAGACUCUCAUGGUUAAAAAGAGUCUAAAUGUUGGUGUCUAUAAACACAAUAUGUAAAUGGAUUAAGUUUUCCUUUCAAAACACCUGACCUUUUGCUUUAAAUGCAAUGUUAACUAGCUUUGAAUCCAAAAUAUUUGCAUCUUGCAAUUUCUGUCUACAGUCUCUGAAACAGCUGAUGGAGAACAUUCCUCAUUCAAGAUGGUAAAAGAUAGGGUGGAGAGUGCUGAUACCUCACUCAAAGACAGGAAGUGGAAGAGAACAAAGGGGAAUCAAUGGAUUGCCUAGAACGCUAUGAGAGAGAUCUCUUUUCAUCUAUUCUGAUGGCUCCAGGGUAGGAUCCAGGGAAAGAAGAAUGGCACAUUGUGGACUACAGAGCACCCCUCCCCCAAGAAUAGCUCUUCUUUGAAUUAUGAUCUCAGAAUGGUUGUUUAUAAUUAGAAAUGUUACCAGGACACACUGGUUCCUACCAUCCUGCUGUACUUGCCUGCUAGUAUUAACAGCCACACCAGGAUUCAAAAGGCUGCUACACAUUGCAUUGGCUUUUCCCUAUCUGAGAUUGCUGAGCAUUUACUGAAGGUUUACUACAUGCCAGCCAGGGGGAUAAAGUCCUCUAGAAAGGUGAUUCAAAUAAUCCUCCUGAGAGCUCUCCAACAGCUUUGCCAAGGCAUGUGCAGUUUCACUCUUCAGGAAAGCCAGUACUCCUGGGAACAACAGGAUCAUCCCUCAAAGCAGAUGGUAAUUACUGGGUCAAGGCUCCAGGCUCCCUGUCUGGGAUGGGUCUGUGAAGUUCCUCAGAGGUUCCUGGCUGGGGUUGAAUUCCAAAUGCCCAUGCAAUAUUUGCUCACUAGCACACACAUCAUAGGUUUUUCUCCCUGUUCUGUUUUAUUUUCCUUGCUCUCCCCAACUCACUGGGAUCCCCUCUAAAUAGAUAACCUGCCCCUAAGUCCUUAUCUCAGGGCCUGUCGUCAGGGACACCAAAAUUAAGCAUGUACACAGUAAUUGAUAACCUAGAAUAUAUGACAUUAAAUCAGAAGCAUAGAAUCAAAGUUGCUUAAAAUAAGAAAUUGACCUUUCUGAAGAAGAUGACAUUACUCUGGUCCCUGACCAUCAGUGCAAGAAAGUUUUUUUAUGGCAGGACUUUGAAGGAUUGGUAGGAUUUUCAUAGUGGAAUAGAGAGGAG
rnacentral:lncRNA from 1 species